ensembl:snRNA Gm25189 predicted gene, 25189
AUACUUACCUGGCAGGGGAGAUACCAUGAUCACGAAGGUGGUUUUCCCAGGGCGAGGUGUAUCCAUUGCACUCCGGAUGUGCUGACCACUGCGAUUUCCCCAAAUGCGGGAAACUCGACUGCAUAAUUUGUGGUAGUGGGGGACUGCGUUUGUGCUCUCCCCUU